rnacentral:rRNA from 1 species
UACAGAGGUCUCAAGCGUUGUUCGGAUUCAUUGGGCGUAAAGGGUGCGUAGACGGCGCGGUAAGUCGGGUGUGAAAGCCCCGGGCUCAACUUGGGAACUGCAUUUGAUACUGUCAGACUAGAGUACAGAAGAGGUGACUGGAAUUCCCAGUGUAGCGGUGAAAUGCGCAGAUAUCAGGAAGAACACCCGUGGCGAAGGCGGCUCUCUGGGACGGUACUGACGCUGAGACGCGAAAGCGUGGGGAGCGAACAGG